rnacentral:rRNA from 1 species
UACGGAGGGGGCUAGCGUUGUUCGGAAUUACUGGGCGUAAAGCGCACGUAGGCGGCUUUGUAAGUUAGAGGUGAAAGCCCAGGGCUUAACCCUGGAAUUGCCUUUAAGACCGCAUCGCUAGAAUCGUGGAGAGGUAAGUGGAAUUCCGAGUGUAGAGGUGAAAUUCGUAGAUAUUCGGAAGAACACCAGUGGCGAAGGCGGCUCACUGGACCGUUGUUGACGCUGAGGUGCGAAAGCGUGGGGAGCAAACAGG